UUAUGGAGAAUAUUUACUGGGUUAGCAUGCAUACCUGCAUCGCAGAGGUCAUUUGAGAGGAGCAAGAAGCAACCAUGGCCAUGUGGCCAAGGGCAGCUGAAGAAUGGAACAAAUGUGCUGAGAGGAAUGACCAAGCACCUCUGCACUUCAGCUCUUCUGGGACAUGCAAAUUUGCUAUAAAACAGUAUAGCCAUUCAGAUCCAUACAAAGAACUUUAUCCAAAUGUUUUCCCUUUUUCCUAGAGGCAACACAAAAGACAAAGAGUUUUCAAAAGGAGGACCUGGGAAUUCUCAACACUGCAAGUUAGUUCCUUGGCAUUUUCAUGAUGAAAACCAAAGGGACCAGGAUCUGUCCCUGGGAACAUGGUUCCUAUGGUGGUGACUAAUGGAAGCAGCAGUGGGGUCAUGGGAAUGUGGCACCAACAUAGCUCUGGAGAAAGGUACAGGGCUAGAAGAGGAGUGGGCAGAAGGCAGAGACAGUACAGGUGCAGAGUAAUGGAACAGGCUGAUACAUGUACCACACAGACAUGAAAACAAGACCUACAGCUACCUACAGGAAGAAAACAGAUUUUACGGUACAGGACAAAUGGUGAAAAGCAGAAAACCAGGAAGGCUUAGGAGAAGGUAAACAAGAGGUGUUUUAAGCUGUGCAGCAGAAAGCAUAUUCACAUUGGAUAAAUGAUAAAUGCCCCAAUUCUGUUUCAAAGAGGAACAAGCAUUUUGGGUAUUACCUUAACUGUUGCAGAAUUAAAGUAACACAGCAGUAAUGCAUCUGUUGUAAGUCACUCAAGAGAAACAAAACAGUAUAAACCAGUCUGGAACCUUC